CUUUCUUGCAAAGUUUCUAUAACAUUUGCUUAACUUCUUCUCUUUCCCAUUCUAUUUAUGUGAGUUUUAGCUUUGUUUUAUUGACAAACAAAGAUCAACUAGAAGUUUUGGUAGAUAAAGGAGGGGCUAAGAGAAAUAUAUAGAAGAUGUAUGUA